CCUACUAAACAUCCUGGCAUACUGCCACAGUUCUUCAGAGAAUCUCAAGCAGUAACUGCAAGGAAACUGCGACUUGUCUUUGGAGUUGACACCACCAGAUCUUUGGUCAAGUUCUUAGUAAAACCAGUUUUCCCUAGUACACAGGGAAGGCUCCAGACUCUCCAUUACUCUCCACAGAUUCUAGGAAUUCCCAGACUCAUCUAGAGAAGGAAUCAGUCUGAAUAUCCUGCUAAGGCAAGGCUACUCAACUCAAUCACUCUGUGUUAGUACCAGUUUUAAUAAGAUGCAAGUACAAAGUUGUCCCCAAUUUAGUUGUAUAGAAGUAAAAAAAUAGAGCCCCAUACUUUUCCAGGUAUCAGAAGUGGUUUGGUUGACCCUGGGGUAAAAAUCCAGAUUUCUCAAAUCAUAAAGUCUCACAUUCUUGGCCUAGGAGUGAGUAUAGGAUUGUAGGAAAGAUUUGGAAUUAGUCAUUGGUUUCAAUCGUAAAUGACUGUGCACCUUAGACAAGUUAUUUGACUUGUCUGAGCCUUGGUUUCUUCAUCUGGAAACCAACAUCUGGUAGAAAAGGAUAAAAGUAGAAUACAAGUCAGAUAUCUUGAAGACACUAAGGAAACUCUGAAAGACAGAAGACAGUAGGCCAAUAUAUUCAAAGUGCUAAAAAUAAAAAAUAAAAACCCUUGUCAACCAAGAAUCCUAUAUCCAGAAAAGCUGUCCUUCAAAUGUGAGGGGUAAAUUAAGACAUUCCUAGAAAAACUAAAGCUGAGGGAGUUUGUAAGCACUAGAUCUACCCUACCAGAAAUGUUCAAGAAAUGCUUCAAGUUGAAAUAAAAGGACACUGCAUAGUAACUCAAAGCCAUAUGGAGAAAUAAAAGGUCUCAAUAAAGAAAUCUGAACUGAAAACAGAUGGUUAACUGUGGUGCAGACAGGGCCAGCCGUUCUGUCUAUUGUGGCAGCUGAACAAAGUGUGAGCUACAGAAUCACUGCCCUGAUGGUGACUGAAGCAGAUGAGGAGAGACGGGAGCU